rnacentral:lncRNA from 1 species
AUUCUAUUAGUCAAACUGGUCACAAAACCAAGUACAAAAUAAGGCAGUAGUUGAAAUAUAAUAUGCCUUAUUAGGGAAAAGAAUUGCAAAGUUGCAUGGCAGAGGGCAUGGAUAUGAAGAAGGGUGAAAAAUCAGGCCCAAAGACGCAGUCUCCAAUGGGAAGAUCUAUGUGGUACAUGCCAGAGUCCUGCUCUCCCGGCCCUUGUCCGUCCACCAGCCCCUCCUUUGCAACCAUCGCUGGAUAUUAAACCAUUUCUUCCCUUUCCUCUUGACACUGCAGCUGCAGUCAACCUCUUCCCCAAUUUCAAUGCGAUGGACCCGAUUCAGAAAGCUGUAAUAAACCAUACAUUCGGGGUUCCUCUUCCCCACCGAAGAAAGCAAAUCAUAUCAUGCAACAUUUGCCAGUUGAGAUUUAAUUCUGAUUUCCGGAGGCUGAGAAGUCCAAGAUCAAGGUGCUGACAAAUUCACUGUCUGGUCUGUGUGGCAUGUCGUAAAAGGAACAUGGCCAAGGUAUUUGGAGAUAUGGACUAAUCACUUUGGGUCAUAAUUAAACAAUUGCAGGCUUGACCAUUUACCAGAUGAUUAUUGUAUUAGUCUUCUAUUGCUGCUAAAAUAAAUCACCACAAACUCAGUGGCCUGAAACAACACAAA